ACAGGGCCAUGGGGCCAGGCUGGAGGGGCCCCGAGUGAGGCUGCUGCCCCCUGCCCAGAGAUGGAGGGCCCAAAGGGCUGGCCUUCUCUUCGCUGUCUUGGAUGGGGCUCUGCCAGCAGCCAUGAAUAGGGUCAGAGCUUCGAGUGCCCCCGUGUUGCCUGACCCCCACAGAUGCAUGGGACUUGAUGCUGCAGCAGUGGGAGGAGGUGGUGGCCAGUGAUGAGUGGUCGGGAAGCACGUGAAUGAGGCAGGAGGACCUGGUGGUGUGGGUUCAGAAGUCUUGAGAGCCUGGGUUCAGCCCUGGGGUUUGGUGGCCCCAAGGGCGCCCAGUUCCCGUGCUGUGCCAGUGUCCUUGCCCGCAUGUGCCCAUCUUCUUGGGGCUGGAGACCACGUGACUUGGGCUCUGGGAGUGGUGUUGGCCAGCUGCAUACACCCACCGGGUGGUGUUGAGACCCCACAGGGGCUGCAGCGGGAGCAACAGCAGCAGAGCGCUGGGUGGCUGCGUGGGAGAUGCAGGGAGACACACAUGCACAGGAAGCGAGGUGGGGAGCUUGGCAAGGGCCACACACAGCCAUCUCAUGGGGUGCCCAAGCGGCCAGGCCAGCCACCACCAGACACGGCUGACAAGGAGCCGCUGUGCGUGGGGCCUUAGAAAGGGCCUGUUUUGGCCUGCGGCCUGGUUGGGUCCCCACUCCCCAUAGUGCCCUUCUGGGGGCAGCUGAGGGCUGGGGUGUGGGAGGACCAGGUUGGGCAGCCCAGACCAUCUUCUGAGGUAAGCCCGCUCCCUGGGUCUGGGCGGACUGGGCACUGUGUCUGGAGACACCCCAGCCCAGCAGCUCUGCUAAGAUCCCAGGAAGAACGCAGUGCAAUGGCAGGGACAGUUGAAGGGGAGGGGUGGAGAGCCAGGGACAAGUGGACCGGAGGGAGUCAGGUCGGAGCAACCUUUCCCUGCCUUUGCAGCCCCUUUGGGACCCAACUCUGCAGUGUAUGACUGGGGGGGCGCUGCCUGAGACUGGUCUGUCUCAGAGGGCCAGGGAUGUGACCUCAGGGCCUUCCUAGGCCCCAUGUUUAGGUUAUGGUGACCACAGCAGGCAACUCCCCUGCCCUUCCUCACCAGCCUUGUGCGAUUGCCGUCUGGGUCAGCCUUGCCCGCUCAGGUACUUGGGGCCAAGCAGAGCACACCUCCAUCCAUGUCACUAGGAGCCCCCCUCCGGAGGCGGAAGGUGGCUGCCAGGGCUUGGCUCUGUGCUUCUGCAGGAGGGAGGGGCCGCGGAGCCCAGUUUCCUGUGUGCUGAGUCAGUGCCCCAGGGGGCGGAGACGGCCCCGCAGUUUGAGGGGCAGCUGGGGGCUGCCUGGUAGGUGCCCAGCCUCUCUGCUCCAGCACCCCUGUCUUCUCACCCUCAGGGCUACCUGUGGCUUCGCAGGAUGGGGCCACAGGUGCCCUCAGCCCCUCCUGCCCUCUGGGUCCUUGGGUGCCUUGUCCUGUUCCUCUGGCUGUGGACACUGUGCGCCACCUGUCACAGGAAGCCAGUGCAGAGGCAGCAGGCCAGCCCCCGGAGCCGUGUGAUGCCAGCAGAAGCGUCCCUGCUGAGACAACACCUCUGCACCCUCAGCAAGUCGGACACCAGACUGCACGAGCUGCACCGGGGCCCCAGAGGCUGCCGAGGCCUCCGGCCUGCCAGCAUGGAUAUCCUGCGCCCACAGUGGCUGGAUGUGUCUAGAAGCACCAGCAGACCCCUGGCAGCCUUCUCACACUGGGAACUGCCCCGGGCAAUGCCGGCUGCCACCUCACCCUCCAUCUGCCCCGAGGCCAUCUAUUCCAAUGUGGGGCUGGCCCCAAUCCCCAGGGCCAGCCUGGCAGCCAGCCCCGUGGUAUGGGCAGGGUCACGGCUGACAAGCAGCUAUGUGAGGCCUGGGCCUGAGGCCAGACGGGAGGUGUCUGAGUAUGCUUGUAUCCAGAAGCUCAAGGAAACAGAAGAAGGCACCCAAAGCCUGGGGCAGGGGAAGGCGGAGCUGACCCCAGCUGCCCAGGUUGCCAUCCUGUACUCCAGAGUCAGGAAGCCUAAGAAGAGGGACCCAGGACCUGCCCCAGACCAGCUGGACCCCAAGGGGAGGGGAGUAAUUCCGCCUCUGGGAAGUGACCAGUCCUAUGAGACCCUCCCACUCAGGGGCCUGGGCAAGGAUGAUGGCCUCCUUGAAAAUGUGUAUGAGAGUAUCCAGGAGAUGGGGACCCUCCCACGGAGCACUUGAGCCCUCCAGCUCUGGUUGUUAGCAGGGGCGCACCUCUGCAGGGCGCGGAGGCUCCUGGCAUCCCCCAUUCCCUGCCUCCCCCUCCCCCACCAAGUUGGCAGCACAAAGUCCAGAUCCCAAAUCUUCCAGCCUGUGAGGUCCCUGGGGGUCCUGGCUGCCGUGGCCUCUUGGACUCUCCCAAAGUCUUAAUAAAUCCCCAGCCUAGGGAAGA